GACGUAGGGCGCGAGCGUUGUCCGGAUUUAUUGGGCGUAAAGAGCUCGUAGGCGGCUUGUCGCGUCGACCGUGAAAACUCGCAGCUCAACUGCGAGCCUGCGGUCGAUACGGGCAGGCUAGAGUUCGGUAGGGGAGACUGGAAUUCCAGGUGUAGCGGUGAAAUGCGCAGAUAUCAGGAGGAACACCGAUGGCGAAGGCAGGUCUCUGGGCCGAUACUGACGCUGAGGAGCGAAAGCGUGGGGAGCGAACAGG
rnacentral:rRNA from 1 species